rnacentral:rRNA from 1 species
CGAACGGGUGAGUAACACGUGAGCAACCUGCCCCGAAGACCGGGAUAACAGUGGGAAACCGCUGCUAAUACCGGAUACCCCCACCGGGUCACAUGGUCUGGUGAGGAAAUGGAUUCCGCUUCGGGAGGGGCUCGCGGCCUAUCAGCUUGUUGGUGGGGUAACGGCCUACCAAGGCUUCGACGGGUAGCUGGUCUGAGAGGACGAUCAGCCACACUGGGACUGAGACACGGCCCAG